rnacentral:rRNA from 2 species
UCAGGGAAACUUGAGCUAUACCGGAUGUGCCCUUCGGGGGAAAGAUUUAUCGCCAUUGGAGCGGCCCGCNUCUGAUUAGCUAGUUGGUGAGGUAAAGGCUCACCAAGGCGACGAUCAGUAGCUGGUCUGAGAGGAUGAUCAGCCACAUUGGGACUGAGACACGGCCCAAACUCCUACGGGAGGCAGCAGUGGGGAAUCUUGCGCAAUGGGCGAAAGCCUGACGCAGCCAUGCCGCGUGAAUGAUGAAGGUCUUAGGAUUGUAAAAUUCUUUCACCGGGGACGAUAAUGACGGUACCCGGAGAAGAAGCCCCGGCUAACUUCGUGCCAGCAGCCGCGGUAAUACGAAGGGGGCUAGCGUUGCUCGGAAUUACUGGGCGUAAAGGGAGCGUAGGCGGACUGUUUAGUCAGAGGUGAAAGCCCAGGGCUCAACCUUGGAAUUGCCUUUGAUACUGGCAGUCUUGAGUACGGAAGAGGUAUGUGGAACUCCGAGUGUAGAGGUGAAAUUCGUAGAUAUUCGGAAGAACACCAGUGGCGAAGGCGACAUACUGGUCCGUUACUGACGCUGAGGCUCGAAAGCGUGGGGAGCAAACAGGAUUAGAUACCCUGGUAGUCCACGCCGUAAACGAUGAGUGCUAGUUGUCGGCA